GUAACGCGAAGAUUGUUUAAAAUUUCUGGUGAUCUAAAAUUCGGUAGCUUUUGUCUAGAGCCGUUUAGUCAGGGGGAAGUGUGAAGUAAGAAACCUAAAUAAGCAUGGAAGGAAGAAGAAACCCGAGAGUCGCAUCAGAAGGAUGCAGUGUUUUAUUGGAUAUUAAUGACGCUGACAAGCUUUCAUUCGCUCGCUUAAAUUCCUCCGCGACUUUGAAAAUCGGCAAGCUGAAAUGUUCAUUGACUCCUAUGAUUGGAAGUCCAUAUGGUACCCUUUUUCAAGUAGAAAGAGGACCAAAAGGUCCAUAUCUUUCACGUAUAUCUGCAUCUUCAAAAGUACAAACUCUUCAGGAAGAUGAAGCAGAGAAGGAUCAUGAGAAAAAAGAUAAUAAAGAUAAUAGAGCAUUAGUUGAUAACAACACAGCUCAAAAGCUCUCUGCUGAAGAUAUAAGUGUCAUGCGCAGUGAAGGUAUAUCUGGUGAUCGAAUAGUUGAAGCACUUAUAGAAAACAGUUCAACAUUCCAGAACAAAACUGCAUUUUCCCAGGAGAAGUAUAGGCGCAAAAAGCAAAAGAAAUAUUCUCCACGAGUACUUUUGAGGCGGCCUUUUGCUCGAAGCAUCUGUGAAGCAUAUUUCAGCAAGUGUCCGGCAAAAAUAGGGUUUUUGAGGCUUGAUACCCUCUCUCUUCUUCUUUCUUUGGCCAAUGUUGGUGCAAAUUCAGAUGUUCUUGUUUUCGAUAUGGUUGGUGGCCUUAUUACUGGAGCUGUGGCAGAACGCUUAGGAGGCAAUGGAUUUGUGUGCAAUACCUAUAACGAUUUGAGGCCUCCUCCAAUGGACAUUGUUGGAAUCUUCAAUUUUGAUGAGUCAACUUCUAGUAGAAUUGUUCGUGUUCCUAUGCUAGAGCUUGUUUCAGCACACAAAAAACAUAUGGAACAGCUUAUGUCAAAGAUAGAAUGUGAUCCAGGCAUCAUGGAGGCUUCAAAUAUGGAUGCCAACUUGUCACCAAAAGACUCAUUGUCAAAAGACAUGUUAUCCAUUGUUCCAAAGUCUUGUUCAGACAAGGGAUCAGAACAAGAGGAGAUACCUUUAGAAACUUUUUUAUCUGAAUGCAAAACUUCACAUGGAAUGCAUGCAGAACAGAAUGAGUGCAAUAUGCAAGAACUUGAGAUAUCUGAAAUUGAUCUGCAGCCCAAUGACUUGUCCAAGAAAAAUUGUAAGCAGGAAAUUGGGUCUGGUGUUAGUCCAAAAGUGAACAAAACUGUGAAGGCAGGCAGACAAGCAACAUCCGAAGACACUCUUUCAUGGGCAGAAAAUGGAUUUACAAGCUUGAUUGUUGCUGCACCAGAUUUUGAUCCUUGGACUGUUGUUAAGCAAACACUGCCACUUCUAUCCUUUUCAGCCCCAUUUGUGAUAUAUUAUCAGUAUCUGCAGCCUCUUGCAGAAUGCAUGAAUAAAUUACAGGUGGAACGCAUGGCUGUAGCUCUGCAAAUUUCUGAACCAUGGCUUCGUGAAUACCAGGGUGAAGCAGUCACGGGACCUUGCUUAUCGCACUGAUCAAGUGAUGCGGUUGCGGGCGCAAUUUGGCUUCGACAUCAAUGCCCCCUUCUUCAGGAUAAAGGCAACUGGUCUUGAAGAUCAUUGGAGGACAAAUUUGGGAGUGUGCUGUUCUAUAUUGCAGGUCUGAAGCAAAAUUCAGGGUUCAACCCUACUCCCACGAUUUAGCUUCUUCUUCAUCAUUUGGGCAACAAACCCCACAAAGGAAGUUAGCGAUAAGUUUGGGAAGGAUGGGCGACUCCUUUAAGACAUUUUGGAGGAAGCAUUGUGGAAGAUUCGGCUUUAUAUCAGACUGAAACAAAAUUUGCAGCAGACAGCCUUCACCAUCGAUCUUGUUCAUGACUUCUCAUUUGAGCAUUGACAGGUCACUUUGGAAGGGUAUUUAUCUUUAGAAGACUAAGGCGAUACUCUUUGUGUUAAUUUGGAGAUGAUUUAAAGUGAGAUCAGCCAGCAAUGAGAAGACAUCAGAAAAUUCAGGACUGACAGUGCAUAAUUUCGAUUUUGUCCAUACACAUCACAAGAAGCAUCAAAAAUCGCAUUGGAGCCUAGCGAUCUGUUGUUAAGAGUGAGGCGCUUCCUUCAAUACCAAUUUGGAGAGGAAUCAGCUGUCAGAUCAAUGUGACCUCAGUCUGAUUUCCACAGUGGUAGGAGUGGCACAUAAAACAAGGUUUGAUUUAGCACCUUCAAGGGGAAUAGUGCGUGGAUAUUGUCC